rnacentral:rRNA from 1 species
GAUGAACGCUGGCGGCGUGCCUAAUACAUGCAAGUCGAGCGAACGGACGAGAAGCUUGCUUCUCUGAUGUUAGCGGCGGACGGGUGAGUAACACGUGGAUAACCUACCUAUAAGACUGGGAUAACUUCGGGACACCGGAGCUAAUCCCGGAUAAUAUUUUGAACCGCAUGGUUCAAAAGUGAAAGACGGUCUUGCUGUCACUUAUAGAUGGAUCCGCGCUGCAUUAGCUAGUUGGUAAGGUAACGGCUUACCAAGGCAACGAUGCAUAGCCGACCUGAGAGGGUGUUCGGCCACCCUGGAACUGAGACACGGUCCAGACUCCUACGGGAGGCAGCAGUAGGGAAUCUUCCGCAAUGGGCGAAAGCCUGACGGAGCAACGCCGCGUGAGUGAUGAAGGUCUUCGGAUCGUAAAACUCUGUUAUUAGGGAAGAACAUAUGUGUAAGUAACUGUGCACAUCUUGACGGUACCUAAUCAGAAAGCCACGGCUAACUACGUG